rnacentral:rRNA from 1 species
CCUACGGGAGGCAGCAGUGAGGGAUAUUGCGCAAUGGGCGAAAGCCUGACGGAGCAACGCCGCGUGGGCGAUGAAGGCCUUCGGGUCGUAAAGCCCUUUUCUGUGGGACGAUAAUGACGGUACCACAGGAAUAAGCCACGGCUAACUACGUGCCAGCAGCCGCGGUAAUACGUAGGUGGCUAGCGUUAUCCGGAUUCACUGGGCGUAAAGAGCGCGUAGGCGGUGUGCUAAGUUGGACGUGAAAGCCCCCGGCUUAACCGGGGGAGGUCGUCCAAUACUGGUGCACUUGAGGGUGGACGGGGAAAGCGGAAUUCCCGGUGUAGGGGUGAAAUGCGUAGAUAUCAGGAGGAACACCCGUGGCGAAGGCGGCUUCCUGGCCAUGGCCUGACGCUGAGGUGCGAAAGCCAGGGGAGCGAACGGGAUUAGAUACCCCGGUAGU